GUGGGGAAUCUUAGACAAUGGGCGCAAGCCUGAUCUAGCCAUGCCGCGUGAGUGAUGAAGGCCUUAGGGUUGUAAAGCUCUUUCAGCUGGGAAGAUAAUGACGGUACCAGCAGAAGAAGCCCCGGCUAACUCCGUGCCAGCAGCCGCGGUAAUACGGAGGGGGCUAGCGUUGUUCGGAAUUACUGGGCGUAAAGCGCGCGUAGGCGGACUGGAAAGUUGGGGGUGAAAUCCCGGGGCUCAACCUCGGAACUGCCUUCAAAACUAUCAGUCUGGAGUUCGAGAGAGGUGAGUGGAAUUCCGAGUGUAGAGGUGAAAUUCGUAGAUAUUCGGAGGAACACCAGUGGCGAAGGCGGCUCACUGGCUCGAUACUGACGCUGAGGUGCGAAAGCGUGGGGAGCAAACAGGAUUAGAUACCCGGGUAGUCC
rnacentral:rRNA from 1 species